ACUGCGGACAGUGCGGACGCGAAAACGGCCGAUCUGGCCUUCUAUCCUAUGCAAAAAGAGUAUACUCUUAUUCUAUAUACUCUUAUAUAUAUUCUAUAUUCUCUGACUAUACCCUAUUAUUUCUGCUGAUUGUUUCUGGCCAAGAUUGAAACCGCGAUCAUGUAAACAGUUGGCAAUGUGAACGUGUUUGAUGCAUACCCAAAACGAAGCAGACGAGUGACCGUUCUCCGAGUUCGCUCGCACGACUCCUUAUGAAGAUGUGUACAGUGAAGUACAUCUCUAAUCAACUACCCCAUCGGUGCCGUGGUAUUUAGUUAAUUUACAAGAGUAGUGUGCUGUGUGUCCACGAGUAUCUCUAAUAAGAGAGUCUCAUGUAAUAUCGCUCUCUUAAAACUAAGUGUGUAACUUCCUUCUUUAUAGAUAUUAAGAUCCUUAUCGUUUUCUCUGUAAAUAUAAAUAAUUCAAGGCAAAAGUGGAAGGGCUCAACUAUUUUAAGAGGGUGUAGCAGUUGUAGUUUUGUCUUUGAGGCAAAAUGUCGCAGCAGCGAGAUACUAUCAUACACCUUGUUGCCGGAGGCUGCUCUUAUGUCCCUUUUUUGAGUAUGUACUGAAGCAGCAUAUUUUCUUGUUGGUCAUAUUUUCGAUUGGGACAUUCAGGGUAUCAUCAGGUGAUGACAGAAGCAAUGGCAAGGGAGCAGGCUACUCUAUGUAUGUCAGUAAAUAGGUGGUUAGCAAGCUUAAACAAUCAUAUAGUUAUUCAAUUCUCUUAUGUGCAUAAUAGUAUUAAGGCAAAUGACACUUAAAAGGCAGAGAAAAGGAAGCAAUAUUAUUAUACUAUGUAAUCUCCACAUAAACAGAAGUAAAAAGUUCUCCUGCAUCCUGUAUAUUUAAAUUGGAUAUUAGGAUACCGAAAUAUCUAACGACAAGCAAAACACACGUGUACACACAGCUGAAUCAUAGAAUAAUAAGUCAAUCUUUAUGAAGCUAAUAGUUUUUUCCAAGUUAUUCGCUAACAGAAGC